GGGGAGGGGACAGAUGUAAGAGUUGUUGAAAGAAUUGAGUUAACCCAAGGGAACCACCUGGCACAUAGUAGACGCUUUCCCAAUGAGAUCUGUUGUUCUCAACACUCCACCAUGCCUAUCUAGUCACUGUCCCUUCCAGGGACACCCUAAAGUGGCUGAAGGACUGUCCUGCCAGGGACAUGACUUGGCUCCUCCCUACUCAUGAGUUUCCUGCCAGCCUUUCCCAUGACGUCUUUCAUUGCUUUUCAGUGCAUGAUUCAUCUAAGCAAACGCUUAGUGUUUUUUGUAAGCAUGCUCACCCCAGUUCUCCAUCAUCAGGGCCACCCGGGAAUGCUCUUUUAAAUAACAGAUUCUUCUUUUUUUUUUUUUUUUUUUUUUGCCAAUUCUUGGGCUCUAAUUUUAAAGAGCAGAUUCUUCUUCUUUUUUCUUCUUCUUCUUCUUCUUUUUUUUUUUUGCCAAUUAAUUCUUGGGCUCUAAUUUUAAAUAGCAGAUUAUUCUUCUUCUUUUUUUUUUUUUUUUUUUUUUUUUUUUUUUUUUUUUGCCAGUUCUUGGGCUCUAACUCAGAUUAUCUGCAUCAGGUUCUUUGAAGAUGAGGCCACUUCCGCAUUGUUAAGAAGUUCCAUGGAUUCUCAUGCACGGUAAAGUUGAAGAAUCACUGUUCUCCACGAUUUUGUGUCUGUACUGGAGAAGUUGGCUCAGAGAUGUAUGUAUAUUAUUAUCAUAUAUUGUUAAAGCUAUUUUGAUAGAUAACAUCAAUAACAAUGACUGUAUCCAUUGAGUAUUUACUAGGUGUGAGACCUUAUAGCAAGGUGCAGGCAGCAAACUACAGCCCCCUCGCCAAAUUCAGCUCACCUCCUGUUUUUGCAAAUGAAAUUUUGUUGGGUUCUGUACUGUCUAUGGCUACUUGCAUGUGCCACAGCAGCAGAGCUGAGUACUUGCAACAGGACCCCAGGGUCAGC
rnacentral:lncRNA from 1 species